UACAGAGGUCUCAAGCGUUGUUCGGAUUCAUUGGGCGUAAAGGGUGCGUAGGUGGCGCUGUAAGUCGGGUGUGAAAUUUCGGAGCUUAACUCCGAAACUGCAUUCGAUACUGCGGUGCUUGAGGACUGGAGAGGAGACUGGAAUUCAUGGUGUAGCAGUGAAAUGCGUAGAUAUCGUGAGGAACACCAGAGGCGAAGGCGUCUACCUGGACAAUUGCUGACGCUCAGGCACGAAAGCGUGGGGAGCAAAAGGG
rnacentral:rRNA from 1 species